rnacentral:rRNA from 1 species
GACGUAGGGGGCCAGCGUUGUUCGGAAUUACUGGGUGUAAAGGGUUCGUAGGCGGUGCGGCAAGUCGGGGAGUGAAAUCUCUGGGCUUAACCCAGAGGCUGCUUCCGAAACUGCUGUGCUUGAGUGUGGGAGAGGCGCGUGGAAUUGCAGGUGUAGCGGUGAAAUGCGUAGAUAUCUGCAGGGAACACCCCGUGGCGAAAGCGGCGUGCUGGACCACUACUGACGCUGAGUGAACGAAAGCUAGGGGAGCAAACAGG